CUAAGAGUCUCUUGUCUUUGUAAAAGCUUUCAAUAAAACCAUCCACAGUCCUUCCUCCCUCAUGAAUGGGCUGUAUGACGCACACCGCUGCCUCCUAGCAUGAUGCCUGGAACUGAACUCCUUCAUAUGGAACCAGAGUGAGUCAUGUCUGCAACUCUCAGGCUUCUCUCCAAAGCUACUUUUCCCUGAAGACUUCCUGGAUUCCCAUAAAAUGGGGUUCAGCCGCCCCUAAUGCCCGUGGCCAUUUUGUGGGAGGGAAUCCUGCUUAAAACACUGCUUUGCCCAAGGACUGUGAUUGGACUUGAUCAAGACUCUUGACUGCAGAAGAAGUCUACGAAUACGAUUUAAUUGUAAAUCAUGGCUAAAGAACUUGCCAGCAGACACUUGGCCUGCCAAUGGUAGCACUGGAUGUGCGGUGCUGGCUUGGGACAGGUGAUGAAGGAUGGGGCUCGCAUUUCAACAUCGGUCUCCAGCAGAUUCACCAGGCACUGUAAGCCACACAAGAGGAAAAAGUAGAGAAACUUCUCAAGGAGGGCAUUCAGUUUCACCCAGACAAUAUGGAUCACCUUCUUUGGUCCUGGACUGAAGGCUGAACCACCCCUCCUGACCAUACCCUCUCUGGUUCUGGACCUCAAUCCAUGGGUGUCAUGUCUUUAUCAGCCCAGUCUACAUUUUGUCUCUGUUUUCAGCUAAUGUGUCC
rnacentral:lncRNA from 1 species